GGUCCCGCUCGUCAAGACGACAACGGACCUGCGAGGGCGCUAGCAAUGCAGGAGAGGGCACAAGCCAUGAAGCUGUGGCGCAAGCGUGCAUGGAGCACCUUGAACACAUCAGAGCGAACAAGGGGGUCAUCAAAAAAGAUAACAUUGGUUUCUUCGCUCUACGUACCGAUGCACGCCUCAGAGAGCUACCAGUGCACAUUGCACAAGAUGUAAUGCAUGCAGUAGAACUUAUGCUGUAUGAAGCAGAGGCAAAAUUGCAUCAGAGCAGUGAAGCAAAUUGAAGUGUGUAAAUAAUGUCAAUGACACCCAUCUUUUUUUUUAUCUUGUGUUCACUUUUCUAGUCUCAACUUAAAGGGGUCAUGACUGGUCACUCAACAAUUGACGGUUGUCAGCAAAAAACAAAACUACAGAGUAAAAUGUGCUAGUACACGUGUGAAAAGGGGCCUUAAGAGUUCAUUUUAAUCAAAAAUAUGCCGUAGAAGUGCUCGACUCUUAAAACUAAACCUACCACAAGUGACCGCCAUUUUGUCAUGGCAUGCGAGACGUCACAAGCCGAAGGAGCAAUGGCAAAUGGUAUACGCAUUGCACAUUCACAGGACCCAUUUUGACAUCCGAAAUUAUUUGCUGCAAGUACCAGCGCUACAUUGCUGACACAGUAGCCAUGUUUCGACCCCUGGAAGUCAUUUAGCUUUAGUGGAGAGUUCAACAAUGCGAAAAAAUUUGAAUGCAAGCGCAGUUGAUGACGGAACACGACCGUCUGCCAGAAUGCACACUGUGCAGCAGCUUGUCGAGCAAGCGGUUCGUGAUGUCAGGGAUAGUGAGUGCGUCAGUAUUGCCCAACUCUCAGGCGACUAGCUCGUUUAUAAAAAUAUGCGAUUAAAAAUUGGCAGCUUGACCAAAUCGCUCGAAUUUUGCCAGCUUGUAUGUGAACAUACAAGAAUCAGCUCAUACAACACACAUUAUGGUUGAAAAUUGGGUGUCAUGACCCCCUUUAGGGCAACUUAUUUCUGUGAUAAUUGUAGUGAUAACCGUGCAAUAACUCAAAUAUUUUAACAUGAAUUAUUUAUUUUUGUGUUUUCAUGGUUAUAUUUGGACAUGACAGUUUUCCCUGUAAUGUAUCUGUUGUGUCACGGGUGAUUUUUCUCUUGUUUGUUUAGCUUAAGAAGAUGCUAUGUACAUAAGUUCUGUAAGCAAUAAAAUGCAUUUACAACCCAC